rnacentral:tRNA from 1 species
UAAAAAGUAGUGUAAUUUGCUCGUAGGGUUUUGAUCUCUAAGGAAAAAACUAAAUGUUUUUCUUUUUAA